rnacentral:lncRNA from 1 species
AGAGAAUCACGUUUUCUACAAUUUUGUUCUCCACACUCAUUUUCGAACGGGUAGGUGCUCAGUGCUAUUAGUGAUUUUUUUUUUUUUUUACAUCUUUUCAAAUAUGUUGUUAUGUAUGGAUUUAACUACUUAAUUCAAAACUCAUUCGAGAGAAAUCAUGAUACAUUUUACAACAUAUCUGUGAGUAUUAGUUAACUGUCAAGUAAUUUUACGGUGCUAGCUAGAAUUGUCAUUUGUAGUGCGGUGAUAAUUCUCAUUUUAUGUUGGUAACAGAAUUUAUACAUAAUUUCAUGUUUGAUUUGAAUGUGUAGUAGCAAGUAUCUCAUUAAGUAUAAUUCGUUAUACUAAUCCCUUCUUAUUUUCAAAUUUCAGGUAAAAAUUAGCAUGCUAGAUGGCCAUGGAUGGAAAUGCUAUUGGACCAACGGAUCCUUGUCAUGAAAUACUUUAAUUUUUAGGAACAUUAUAAUUUUUAAUAGCAGUUGACUAUUUUUUCAGAUUUAAACUCAAUUGUGAAUAACAUUAUUAUUCCAAUUAUUCGCAUUCCAAUCGCAUGUUAAAAACUAGUUUUAUC